CCUACGGGUGGCAGCAGUGAGGAAUAUUGGUCAAUGGACGAGAGUCUGAACCAGCCAAGUAGCGUGAAGGAUGACUGCCCUAUGGGUUGUAAACUUCUUUUAUAUGGGAAUAAAACGUUCCACGUGUGGGAUUUUGUAUGUACCAUAUGAAUAAGGAUCGGCUAACUCCUUGCCAGCAGCCGCGGUAAUACGGAGGAUCCGAGCGUUAUCCGGAUUUAUUGGGUUUAAAGGGAGCGUAGGUGGAUUGUUAAGUCAGUUGUGAAAGUUUGCGGCUCAACCGUAAAAUUGCAGUUGAAACUGGCAGUCUUGAGUACAGUAGAGGUGGGCGGAAUUCGUGGUGUAGCGGUGAAAUGCUUAGAUAUCACGAAGAACUCCGAUUGCGAAGGCAGUUCACUGGACUGCAACUGACAUUGAGGCUCGAAAGUGUGGGUAUCAAACAGGAUUAGAUACCCCAGUAGUC
rnacentral:rRNA from 1 species